GGCUCGGUGGUGGAUGGUCCACGCUCACACUUAUAGCCUGCCGAAUAUUGUGAUUCUGCGAGAGACGCCCGUUCGACUCGGGCCCGAGCCA